GUCUUCGUUUUUUUUUUUUUGUCUCUUUUUUUGGUUUUGUAGUUUUAAUUCGAGCUUCUUGAUCGAUAUUUCCUUCAAAUUAUUGGGUAAAUAUUGCGCUUUCAUUCUGUAAGUGGUCAAAAAAUGGUAAUGUAUUGAUUCAAAUGCGAAAUGUAUCUCCUCUGUUCGUAGCACGUAUUAAUCGCUAAAAAUAAAGUCAUAAAUUGCGCUCUCUGCUAUUUACGCUUAACAGCAACGUCAUAAAAAUCACAUCCCCUUUAUUGCUGGCCUGGUAUGCCCCUUAUAAUGAACUUUUCAUAAUGGAUGGUUCGAGUUCACAAGACGUAAAUGCCUUGCAUCCUUAUCUUUCCCCGAAA
rnacentral:lncRNA from 1 species